UACGUAGGGUGCGAGCGUUAAUCGGAAUUACUGGGCGUAAAGGGCGCGUAGGCGGCCUUGUAAGUCAAAGGUGAAAUCCCUCGGCUCAACUGAGGAACUGCCUUUGAAACUGCAAGCUUGAGGCCGGGAGGGGGUAGCGGAAUUCCCAAUGUAGCGGUGAAAAUGCGUAGAUAUUGGGAGGAACACCUGUGGCGAAGGCGGCCACCUGGUUGGAUACUGACGCUGAGACGCGAAAGCGUGGGGAGCAAACAGGG
rnacentral:rRNA from 1 species